UACCAAAGGAUAAUAGUAUUCCACUGGUCUUAGGCACCAAAAUCCUUGGUGCAAU
rnacentral:tRNA from 2 species